rnacentral:lncRNA from 1 species
AAUUUAUGACUUUAUUUUUAAAGGGGGGAAGCAAAAGGCAUGCAUUUAUGUAAGGUUUAUAAAAAGAUGAAAAACUAGGUAAUGCGCUGAUUGGAGGUUCAUAAACACAUAGAAAUGUUAUAAAGAAAAUCAGAUAACCAUAUAGCAGCUCCCCUGACCCUCAGACCCUCAGAUGAUAUAGAUGAUACAUUCCCCAGGGAAUGCCUAAAACCACAGAUAGCACCAAACCCUAUGUACACUAUGUGUAUGUGUAUGCACACACAUCUAUAUAUGCCUAUGAUAAAGUUUAAUUUAUAAAGCACAAUAAAGAGAUAAGCAGUAAUUGAUAAUAAAGGAACUGGCGGUAUAGCUCAGUGGUAGAAACAAGUGCUUAGAACAUGUUCAAGAUCCUGGGUUCAAUCCCCCAGGGCUAAAAAACAAAACAAAACCACUAACUAUAAAAUAGAAUGAUUAUAACAAUAUACUGUGAUAAAAAAUGUCAGCAUCACUUCUCUCCUGGGGCCAUUAUUAAGUAAAACAAGGGCUACUUGAACUCAAGCACUAUGAUGUGGCACAAUGGAUCCUAUCAUGGCAAUGGCCGAGUGUGUGGCGGGCAGGAAGCUUACACAGAAUGGACAUGCUGGACAGCGGGAUGGUUCACGUCCAGGGCAGGAUGGAGCAAGACUUCAUCACACCACUUAGAAGAGUGCGCAAUUUAAAGUUUAUGAGUUGUCCAUUUCUGGGACUUUCCAUUUAACAUUUUUGGACCCAUGUUGACAUAGGUAGUUGGAACCACAGAAAGCAAAACCAUGGAUCAGGAGGGUUCCUCUAAACAUGAAAUUGAGACCCACAUUUACCUUCAUAGACAGGCAGCCAUCGAGACUGGGGAGGGGCACACAGGGCUUCAAAAGCAUUUGCAAUAUCCUGGUUCUCAAAGUGGGCGGUUGCUAUCUGGGUGCUCAUCUUAUAAUUCUUUACAUAACUGCAAACGUUUAAAACGUAAGCACGUGUCACUCACUUCCUCCAGGGAGAGUCCACCAAUUCCGCGCUUAGCAUAGCUGGGUAUUCCCGGGUCAGGGGCCAGAGCUUUUCACCAUUUCUCAGCCAGGGCUGGGGGAGGGAUCACUUCAUUUCCCCCUCCCCUGAGGUUCUGAGGGGGGACCCCAGAACUUCCAAGUUCAGGCUUGGAAUCCCCCCAGAUGAAAGAUUCAUAGGGCAGCUUCUUUUCCAGAAGGCUAGAGUGGAAAUCUGGGGGAUCCCCAGCCUUGGACAGCUGACUUCCCAGUCUACCACCCCCUGCCACCAGCAGCUGCCAUGCCUGUGGGACUCUUAAGGGAAGAGGAAAAGAAAAAAUGUAGCAUAAGACCCACACCCUGCAAAAAUCCAGGACAGGUGUCCCUGGGUUUUAGUGUUUACAAACCUAUAAUAUCAUUUAAAAUAUGAAUAUUGAAAUGGUAUCCCUUUUACCAUUUUGCUUUGUAAAUAAAUGAGGAAACAAGUCACCACCUCCUAUCCUCUCACUCCAUAAGUAAAGUCUAUUUUAAUAUUAAAUAAUAAAAUGGAAGCAUACAUGCUUUAGAACAAAGCUGGGCCCUUUGUACAGAAAAAAUUAGCUUUAUGAAAACCUCAUAGCAUCUGUGCCCCCUCCUUUGCUCAUUGUAGGGCAAAGCAACUGAGACUUGGCCCACAAAGAGCCAGAUAGGAAGAAGGCUUCUGGGAAGCACUAGUGUCAAGCCACACAGGUGUCUGUCCCCUGACACACCAGCUAGCCAGCUCCUUACACGUGCCCACACACACCAGCUUACCCCGUCACUAAGCAGGCACAGACAAUCACAUUCUCCUUCCCCAGAGGCUCCAGGUUGGAACGCCUGCCAAGGCACCCAGGGGAGGCCAUUCCUCUCCUGAAUCCCAAAGCCUCAGCAGAGGACCAGGCUCCCCAGCCUGGGCCGGCCAGUAAGCAUGAGCGCUUGUUGGCACUGGAACCACACAGGGUGCUGAGUGGGACCAGAGUUGGGGAGCCUGCUCAGGUCCCCAGGCCUUGGUCUCUAUCUGGGAGUCCAAAGUUUGCCCACAUCCAGUUUUCUGGGAUGGACUGGGAGUACACUGGGAGUUCUAGGGACCCUGGUCCUAGCCCUGGUUAGAUCUAUUGACCUUGAGCGAGUCACUUUCCCUCUCCAGGCUCCAGACAACUGCAGGCUUUGUGCCAGUGCCACAGGGAUAUAAAGACCCACCCUGCUUAGCCUUGGCCUUGGGAGACCCACAGGCCAGCUUACAAGUGUGUUCUGGAAGGAGAGACUCUGUCUACCCACAAUGCUGGCAAGCUCUGGGGAACUUUGAGAAAAGAGAGAGUCCUAUGGGGUCAGGAGAGGAAGCUGCCAUCUGCACUGGUCCCAGCAACCUGUCCCAGGCUUCAGCAGCUUGGUCACCCACCUGGAACGAAAUGGCCCCCCUGGCUGCCCAGCCCAGAGCCUAGUGGGGAGUGUGACUCACUUCGUGGGGGGCCAUUGUGGCUAAUGUUUAACCUGCCUCCCUCCUUCAACAGGGCACUUUAGCCCCAGCAACCCUGAGCACCCGGGCCCUACCCUGAGCGCCCCUGCCAUUAAGUGGGCUCCAGACACACAGCUGGGCUCAGACUCUUGGUUCUAUGGGGGUGAAGCACUCUAGAGGAAGGGGGUCAGCCCUGGCCUCCUGACACUCCAGGACAGGUGGGGCAACAGCAGGUGGCAUCUUGCCCUGGUCAUUCCUAACAGGGAAGGAGGAGCAUCAGGCCAAUCUCCAGCUGUGAAGGGUGCCCACCCAGCUGUCUUUUGUCAGUUCUUAAGAGACAUCCACCAAGGCCUCCACUCCCAGACGUGCCCUGCUGUUGGGGGAGACCUCAACUUUGCCCACCUGGGUGUCCCUUCAUCUCACUUGAAUACUUCCUCCUUGGUGGGGAUGUGGGAACUCCCCCAGUACAUAUGCAGGGCCCCUGUCCCCAGGUGUCCCUCCUGGACAGUAGCUAUUUUGGCUCUGUUGGGACCUGGGUUCCAAUCUGCAGUCUGCAAUCAUUAAACCCUAUGACUUAGAGGAAGAUUUGUAAACCCUCCAAGACUCCAUUUUUUCUCCUGGAAAUGUGAGAUAAUGAUACCCACUUCUUAGGCUUCAUGAGAAUAUAAUGUUACUAUUCCAAUAAGGCAUUCAGCCUAGUAUCUUUAUUCUUAUUUGAAAUAGUAUUAUUAAUUAAGUAGGGAAUAAGGGUAUAGACGCCGACAGACUUCUUGGCUUAAAUCCCAGCCCCACUUCUUGCUGUGUGACCACAGGAGUCAUUAGCCUCCCUGUGCCUCAGUGUCCCCCUCUAUAGAAAGGGCACGGUAAAAGUGUUUGCUCAUGGGGCUUUUGUGAAGGAUCCUGAUGGCAGUGCCUGGUUGUAGGAAUGUGCUGUCUGAGCUGCCAAUCAGCAGGAGGCCCCGCCCCCUGCCCUGCUCCCCUGUGGCCAGGCAGCCACGUGAGGGUUCUCCCUGCAGAGAGGACCUGGAUUGGGAUCAGGGCUCUCCAGUGACCAUGCCUCCACACUAGGCCCUGUUCAUGCUUAUAGCUAUGGAGCCCUGAACAGAGGCCUCCCCGGAGAGCCGUGGCAGACUCCCUCCCUUCCCAGGUCUGCUCAAGCUCUUCAUCUUCUCUUGCAAAAAGCAAGUGUUGAUGCCCACCUUUGUGCUUAUCUACCCUCAAGGAGAUGGAUUAGGUCUAGUCCCAUCUGGAAGCAGAAGGAAGGACCUAAUGAUUUUCAAGAGUCCUCUAGGUUGGCCCUCAGUCCCUUUCCCAAAAGGCCAUAGGCUUGGUAUUAGGGGCCCUAUGCCCCCCUCCCAGGUCCUCUGCUCCCCAGUAUUUACUUUUUUUUUAGUUCUUU